rnacentral:rRNA from 1 species
ACACUGACGACAUGGUUCUACACCUGAGAAACGGCUACCACAUCUAAGGAAGGCAGCAGGCACGCAAAUUACCCACUCCCAGCUCGGGGAGGUAGUGACGAAAAAUAACGAUGCGGGACUCAUCUGAGGCUUCGCAAUCGGAAUGAGUUCUACUUUAAAUCCUUGUACGAGGAUCUAUUGGAGGGCAAGUCUGGUGCCAGCAGCCGCGGUAAUUCCAGCUCCAAUAGCGUAUAUUAAGUUGCUGCGGUUAAAAAGCUCGUAGUUGGAUUCUCAUUCUGGGUGGACGGUUCGCUUUC